AGGAAUAUUAUCCCAGGAGGGACUUGAAAAUUUAAGUGCAAAAUAGUUACCGCCCGCGUAAAGCUAUCCGCAGUCGUCGAAAUUACGUUCACAUGUGCAAUCGUCCACUAUUGUGCGCAACUGCUUUUGUAAACACGGACGUGAGCUCUUUGGGAGGAAGUAGCACUCCAAUUUCAGCGUCAACCAUUUUCGCAACGUUACAUUCCUGAUCUCCGAACCAAGGGAUACCAACUGUAGGAACACCGUAGUGGACUGUCUCUUGGAAACUUUGUAGCCCUCCUUGUGUUAUAAAGACUCUGACUUUUGGGUGAGCUGUAAUGAGAAACAAAUAUUUUGAGUUUUUCAGGGGUUUUAAGAUGCAGAGGACCAACUUCAAUGACGUUGGGACCGAGAAGUCUAGGAUAAGAGUACAACGAAUUUGACGCAAUCAAGGAGAGACUAUUCCUGGACCAGCAGUCUCCUAUCGUGUCC